UAACUUUGCAGCUGCUAUAUUACAUUUGUCAAUGUUUAGUUACAAAGAUGUUGAUUAAAAGCACAAUGAAUCACUAAGAAAUGAUACUGGAGACAAGAAUAACAGUUUAGGGCUGUCACAAGAGGCAUACACUUUCAUACAUUAAUCUUUACCAUAGAAUUAGCAACCAAAAACACUGGUACAAUUAUUAGGAGGCAGAACCCAAUAAUUUGAUUACACAUUUUCAUUUUAGUGUGCCUUUGACUUACAUUCAUCUGAUGAUCUGCAAUACCUUGAGAUUUUGUAAACUAUAUUGUUUCCACUUUCCAGCUCUCCAAUUAAAUGCAAAUGUCUUUUCCAUACUCAGUUGAUAAAAAGACGACAGCAUACCCAGUGUAAUCCCACAAAGUGGAGUCUUGGGAGGGUAGAGCGUACACUGAACACAAACCUUACCCCUACCUCAGAGGUAGAGAGGUUGUUCCUGAUAGACCCUCAGCUCAAGAAAAAACUCCUUUGAUAAAAAAGGGAACAAUUCUUUCUGCACGUAUUCUUACACCAUAUUCUGGUGCAAAGUAGUACAAUAUGCAAUUGGAGGAUCUACAAACAUAGAUACAGAAUAUUAUAAGACCUUAUACACAAAUAGUCGCAUUUAAUUGCUUUACUUUUCAGGAAACAACAUGCCAAUGUCGAAGUUAUCCAGACAAAACAAAUCAUGAAGCUUUAUAGUAAUAACAACAAAAGCCAUGAAUUGUCUUAUCUGUG
rnacentral:misc_RNA from 1 species